rnacentral:rRNA from 1 species
AUUGAACGCUGGCGGCAGGCCUAACACAUGUAAGUCGAGCGGAUGAGUGGAGCUUGCUCCAUGAUUCAGCGGCGGACGGGUGAGUAAUGCCUAGGAAUCUGCCUGGUAGUGGGGGACAACGUUUCGAAAGGAACGCUAAUACCGCAUACGUCCUACGGGAGAAAGUGGGGGAUCUUCGGACCUCACGCUAUCAGAUGAGCCUAGGUCGGAUUAGCUAGUUGGUGAGGUAAAGGCUCACCAAGGCGACGAUCCGUAACUGGUCUGAGAGGAUGAUCAGGCACACUGGAACUGAGACACGGUCCAGACUCCUACGGGAGGCAGCAGUGGGGAAUAUUGGACAAUGGGCGAGAGCCUGAUCCAGCCAUGCCGCGUGUGUGAAGAAGGUCUUCGGAUUGUAGAGCACUUUAAGUUGGAAGGAAGGGCAGUAAGUUAAUACCUUGCUGUUUUGACGUUACCAACAGAAUAAGCACCGGCUAACUUCGUGCCAGCCGCCGCCGUAACAC